rnacentral:rRNA from 1 species
AAAGGGUGUUGAUUGAUAUAGACAGCAGGACGGUGGCCAUGGAAGUCGGAAACCCGCUAAGGAGUGUGUAACAACUCACCUGCCGAAUCAAUCAGCCCGAAAAUGGAUGGCGCUUGAGCGGGGACCUAAGCCCAACCGUUGUUGGCUUGUACGUUUCGUGCGUCUGGCCUCAACGAGUAGGUGUGUCGCGGCGGUUAGCGUCGAAGGCUUAGGGCGUAGGCCCAGCUGGAGCUUCCGUCGGUGCAGAUCUUGGUGGUAGUAGCAAAUAAUCAAGUGAGAAUCUUGAUGACUGAAGUGGAGAAGGGUUCCACGUGAACAGUAGUUGAAUGUGGGUUAGUCGAUCCUAAGAUACUGGCUAAUGCCUUGUAUCAUUGACGUCGAGCCUCGUGCUUCUCGUCUAAUAUCGAAAGGGAAACGGGUUAAUAUUCCCGUACCUGUAAAUGUGAAUUUGUGAGCGCAAGCUUGCAUUGGCGGUAACGCAUUCGAACUUGGCGAUGCUAUGUGUGAUCCGGGCUAGAGAUCUCUUCUCUAGUUAAGGAACGGACUCCCUGGAAUCGGUUCAGCCGGAGGUAGGGACGUUGUUUCCGUAUAGUGCCACGGUUUCUGUGGUAUCCCGUGUAUCGCGCAUGGCCCUUGAAAAGCCAAGGGAGCAAUUCAAUUCACAUUACUGAUCGUACCCAUAUCCGCAGCAGGUCUCCAAGGUUCGUAGCCUCUAGUCGAUAGAAUAAUGUAGAUAAGGGAAGUCGGCAAAAUUNGAUCCCUACCUUCGGAAUAAGGAUUGGCUCUAAGGACCGGUCUGAACGGGCUUUGCAAUGAAGCUUGGUUGAUGGCGCUUUGAUUGGGUUGGCUCUCGGGUCGGCUUGAUCUAAUGGCGUCGUUGCCUUGUGGACUUGCCUUGCUGCGUGCUGGCGUUUCGGCGUCAGUACUUCGUUCGACACUUAACGGUUGACUUAGAACUGGUACGGACUCGGGGAAUCCGACUGUCUAAUUAAAACAGAGGAGAUAGAUGGUCCUUGCGGACGUUGACUAUCUCUGAUUUCUGCCCAGUGCUCUGAAUGUUAACGUGGAGUAAUCUGCAUAAGCGCGGGUAAACGGCGGGAGUAACUAUGACUCUCUUAAGGUAGCCAAAUGCCUCGUCAUCUAAUUAGUGACGCGCAUGAAUGGAUUAACGAGAUUCCCACUGUCCCUAUCUACUAUCUAGCGAAACCACAGCCAAGGGAACGGGCUUGGAAAAAACAGCGGGGAAAGAAGACCCUGUUGAGUUUGACUCUAGUUUGACUCUGUGACGAGUCUUGAGAGACGUAGUAUAAGUGGGAGACUUCGGUCGCAAUUGAAAUACCACUACUUUCAUCGAUUCUUUACUUAUUCGGUAAUGCGGGGAUUGGAGCUCGUUCUCCUUCCUUCUGGUGUUAAGCGUCGGCUCUCGGAGCUUUCGCGACCCGGACCGAAGACAGUGUCAGGCCGGGAGUUUGACUGGGGCGGUACAUCUAUCAAAACGUAACGUAGGUGUCCUAAGGUGUGCUCAGAGGGGACGGAAACCUCUCGUAGAGCAAAAGGGCAAAAGCCCACUUGAUCUUGAUUUUCAGUACUAAUACAGACCGCGAAAGCGUGGCCUAUCGAUCCUUAAAACCUUGAUGGUUUCAAGUUUGAGGUGUCAGAAAAAUUACCACA